GGCGCCUUCCCGCCCUGCUGUGGAGCCGGGACUGCCGCCCUCGGAUCGCGUUGAACUGAAGGCGGCCCUGCGGACAAAGGAGCGCGAGAACGGAAAGGUAACGUGAGACGCGGGCGGGGCGGGCGCCGCGGCGGCUUUUGCCGUGUCCGCUCGGGCCGAUGUGCGCCGUGAGCGAAAACGUCUGCAUUAAGAAGCGUGAAGCGGUUCCCGGUUGCGGGCGGCGUCGGAAGGUCUCGGCGGUGCGCGCGGGGAGGGGCGGAGCGCGGCGGUGUGAGGGCGGCGUGGCGCUGCGCGGGUCCGACCCGCAGCACAGCGCUGAGCGCGGCCCGCAGCGCCGCCCGGCCGGCCGCGUCCGCUCGGGGCGGAUCGGCGCUCACGAGGCCGGGCCGGAGGGAAUGCAGCCGCGCACUGCGGCCGGGCGGUGCGCGCGGUGGGGUCGCGCUGUGCCUCCGCUGCGUUUCCCUGCCGUGAGGGCGGAGCGGUUUGUGCUGAGCCGUCAGAUGGCGUGAGGAAAACGAGCCGCGUCCCCCGCCGUGCUGGCGUUUGGGAAUCGGUGACAGGGCUCUUUUUUCUCUCUCUUUCCAUCAAACACCGCGGUUAGGAGCGGGCGUUCAGCGUUAAGGGAAACUCGUGGUGCGGUCGGCCGUGGCACCUUCCGCCCCGACACGCGGAGCUGCGCGGCAGUGGUGCCGCACUUCAGUGCCCGCGGCUCUGCACGGCGCUGCAGGACGGGCGGUUUGAGGCCUUUCGCUGCGCGCCGUUUGCAGGAGGCGUUCAGGACCCGUUCCGUUCGGCUGAGCUGCACGGGGCGCCGCGUGCUGUCCGUGCCGGGCUGUAGUGGAGGUUGCCGGCCGCGCCCCCCAUACGGCGCCGUUUCGCUCCCUGCGGGUACCGCGUGGUUCUGCUGCGAUACAGAACCAGCCCGUCGGUUUGACGCCUUCCUCGAUGCUGAGCGCACAGAUGGGUCCUGCGGGGGCAGAGCGCUGCCGGCCGUGCUCUGUUGGCUCUGCGGCGCCCGCCGCUCCCCCGCAGGGCCGUUCCCCGCACACCGCGGGCUCCGCUCCCUGCAUGCCGCGUUUCCCGCCCUGCGGGCUCCGUCUGUGCCGCUGAGCGCUCAGAGCCCCGUGCCCGCUGCCAUCCGCCGGGCAGCUCCCUGUGCUUCGGUGGGGAACGCUGAACCAAGGCGACAGACCCGCGUCGAGUCUGAUCCAAUGAGGAGUUCCUCCAUGCAGUAAGGGCGGUCUUAAUGGAACGCACCGACAUGCCUUUGCUUCAAGCUGCGGCCUCGGCGUUCUGCCAGGUGAGGGCUGCAGCAAAGCACGGAGCCCUGCCGGCCUCACUGCCAGCACUCGGUGCGGAAGGAAUCCCCGCUCCGUCCUGGCACAUCCUCAGCCUUUGUUUGCCUCCAGUCCCGCCGAGCUCUCUGCCUUACGGGUGUUGCAGUGGCCGUACCGGCUGUGGGUGCAGAAUCGCACCCAGCGCUUCUCCUUCAGAGCCCCGGGAACCUCUUUGCCCCUCGCUGCACCUCACAGGAAAGCCAGAAAAGGGUCAGCAGCCACAGCGGGCAGAUGUGUGCUUAUGGUGAGGGCUUCUCACUGUGCCGUCAGUUCAGUGAGACAGGAGACGCUGAAAAGCUGUAAGGAUUUUUGUGUGUUUGGAUGCAUCUGCUAUGUGAAAAAACUAAUUUUGUACAUAUUGUGUUUUUACUGUUCAGCCGUAUUAUAUUAAUAAUGCUCUAGAAUUUGGGUAUCCAACAUGAAUAGUAUCCAUGCAAUAAGCACUUGCCUGAGAUAAACAGAAGCUGAAGUAAACGUGGGCUGAAAUCUGAACCAGGAUUCUGCAUCUCAUCCUCGCGCUUUGCAUGCAGACAUUUCACUUCCUUUGUCUCUUUCCACUCAUACAGACAGUGUUUGCUCUCUGAGCUUUCUCCAAACGUGUGCUGUUGGCCAUCAGCUCCAGAGCCGCCCCAGGCUGAGCCCAGCGCUGCUCCCGGCUCGGCUGUGCUGUGCUUGGCGGGGAGCGGCGGCUCCUUUCCAGCCCCAGAAUGCAUCAAAACUUGGAAAAUCAAAAUUACAUGAAGGUUUACCAGCAAAGUAGCUUUAAUUUAUUGGCAUCCUUUAGAGAAGAUUGAAAUGUAAUGCCUGUUGAAUGGGGAAGGUUGGCCAACGAUGCCUUCGGCGCUGUGACCGCGUGUGCCAGGUCGCAAAGUUGGAUGUCUCAGGUUUUGAGAAAAGCCUCCUGGGUCCUUUUCCUCUGGAACACAGACUGAGAGCCAGAUGGUUUGCUCCUCGGGGCUCCCUCUGAGAAAUUGUUUCCAACGACCUCCACAGAAUGCCUCGACAGAUCCUGAGGGAAGUCCCCCCAGAAGGCUGUGCAGAGCAGGGAAGAGGAGGUUAGCAGUCUGCAGUAAAUGAACUGGAGGAGGCGAGGCUGUGCAGUGUCUGCUCUUUUGUUUUUAGGAAAACUGAGGCACUGCUGUUUGUGGGGCAGGUCAGAUCUUCAGCAAGUAGAUGAAAAUCUGAGCAUUCCUUUGUGCACAUGGAAAGCAAUGUAACUGAAGAGGUAAGAGAUUCUCAGCUUAAAAGUAACAGGGGCUCUCAAGACAGCAAGGACACUGAACAACUGCAGGUGGUUUGUCAGAGUAAGGGAGAAGCAGCAGACUGUGGAUAGUUGCUGUUUAUUGCAAUGUCUUUCUUAAAAUAUGUCUUACCGUUAAAAAACUUGAUGAUAUCAGUGAAGUCCAUGUUGUUAUCACGGAUAAUCUCUCGGUAAACUUCCACAAGUGCUAAGGCAAUGAAAAGGACAAAAUGUUCUGAAGAGAUGUGCUUUGCUGCCCAAAUUACUUCCCACACUGUAAAUACAUCCUCGUACAACAAUUCUGAAUGGGAAUAAACAUUACAAGAGCAUCUGAUUAUUCAAAUUGACCAUUUCUCCCCCACCCCCCACUAUGAUGUCUUUCAGUCCUGAUGUAGAAAAUAAUUGUGUGAUGACUUCUUUUCCCUCUCCCUUUCUCCUCCAGCCAACUCCUGUCAUUUAUUAGUGCAAGUAUGGCAACUGAAAAUUAAAAAAGAGCAUAGGUGGAGUAGUGCAACUUAACCCCAAAAAGAUGCCCAAACUGCAGUACCCAUGUGAUAGCACAGGUGGGCCCAUUUGUUGUAGUAAGGGGCUAUAUGACAGGCUGUGAAUCUAAAUGCAUAGCAGAGGUCCUUCUAAUAUAUAAAGCACAUCACUCAGCAGAGUCCAACAGCUACUGAGCUGUCCCUCAUAAACACAUUUUGCUACAGCCAGACACAGGUCUGUUCAGUUUUGCAUAACUCCAUAGGCAUAAAACAUUAUUACCUCUUUUAAAGUCAAGCAGGAACCAGCGAUAGCAGAAGUAAAAGUGAGUGUAAUCCCCAUUCUGAUGCAUCAGUUCAAAAAGCUCUGAGUCUAGAAUCUAAAAUGUAAAACAUCAGAUGUUGGUAUCUUGUCUGAAAGUAGCCAAGAUCAGAGGUGUUAGAGGCUGGUGAAUUCUUGAGCUGCUCUUUAUCACCUGAUCCUGUAGUUAUUCUGAGCAGCUGCCUUGCACAAAUCUGCCUUUCAUUAUGCAUUUGUAAAAUGCCAGUGGUGUAGCUGCCCCAAACUUGCUAAAUGUCUGAUAGAUGUCUUAAAUGAGUAGUACAUCUGUAGUCAUUUCUCACAGAUGCUAUCCUAAAGGUUGCUGGAUAAUGAGGGUGGCAUCCUCUUGCUUGUCUUGCUUUUGCUGCUCAAGAGAAAUGCUGCAGCUGUGUUUGUUUGCUGCUUGUUUUUUCCAUCCUGACUCUCUUUUUUUAUUAACUGGAUCUCUGCUUUCACUAUAUAUAUGUACAUCUAUCUAUCUAUCUAUAUGUACAUCUAUAUGUAUUAUAUAAUACAAUAAUAUAAUACGAUAAUAUAAUACAAUAUAUAUUAUAUAUUAUAUGUAUAUGUGUAUAUAUAUGUACAUACAUAGAUGUGUAUAUGUAUAUACAUAUGUACAUCUAUAUAUACACAUAUAUAUCUAUCUAUAUGUAUAUGAAUUGUUAUUUAAAUUACCACCUAUGAAACCAAAUAAUGGCUUACCUCCAGAUAAUUCUUGCAACCAAAAAACGUUCAGUAAGCAUACUGUGUAAACACAAAUAAAGCUAUAGUCUAUAAGUCUGUAAUAAAGGUCUUGUUUCCACAAAUAGUAGUGUUUUCUCUUCCAAAAGCAAUGUAGGGAUGGAUAUUAAUGUGACUUUCUGACUUCAGUUGGAGCUGGACUGAACCACAAAGAUUGGAGUCAUCAUGAGAUCAACUGCUUUAGAUUUCAUUGAUAUCUUUGCCAUCAUCAGAGAAGCAAAAGAUAGAAGAGUGUAAAAUCGACUGCCUUUCAUGAGAAGUCAUCCUGGGAAGACCAGAAAGCACCUUUAAUACUUCCUGCAAACAAUUCUAAGGGAUACCAUGCUCACCAUGCUCACCACAUCAGCACACUGGAGCUACAGUUUAAUCACCAUAAAGGUAUUUUGUGACUUA